rnacentral:rRNA from 1 species
GACGAACGCUGGCGGCGUGCUUAACACAUGCAAGUCGAACGGAAAGGCCCUGCUUUCGGGGGGUUCUCGAGUGGCAAACGGGUGUGUAACGCGUGAGUACUCUGCCGCUGACUUUGGGAUAACUUCAGAAAACUGGGGCUUAUCCCGGAUGGGCGCUCCUGCUGCAGGGUGGGGGUUGGUAAGUUUCGGCGGGUGGGGAUGGACUGCCGGCUUAUCAGCUUGUUGGUGGGGUAGUGGCUUACCAGGGCUUGGAUGGGUGGCCGGCCUGGGGGGGUGACCGGCAACAUUGGAACGGAGAUACGGCCCGAACUCCAACGGGAGGAAGCAGUGGGGAUUAUUCCACAAUGGGCGGAAGCUUGAGGCAGGAACGCCGCUUGCGGGAGAACGGCCUUCGGUUGGUAACCCCCUUUCGCCGGUGACGAACCGUGAGUGACGGUAAUGGGUAAAGAAGCACCGGCUAACUACGUG